rnacentral:rRNA from 1 species
UACAGGGGGGGCAAGCGUUGUUCGGAAUUACUGGGCGUAAAGGGCGCGUAGGCGGCCUUCUAAGUCGAACGUGAAAUCCCCGGGCUCAACCCGGGAACUGCGUCCGAGACUGAAAGGCUUGAAUCCGGGAGAGGGAUGUGGAAUUCCAGGUGUAGCGGUGAAAUGCGUAGAUAUCUGGAGGAACAUCGGUGGCGAAGGCGGCAUCCUGGACCGGUAUUGACGCUGAGGCGCGAAAGCCAGGGGAGCAAACGGG